UCAAUGCAGAUCUGAACAAAUUUUUUUAAUUUUUAAUUUAUCCACACAUGUUGGACAAAAUAACUUAUAUUAAGCUGACAAGUUUUUGUUAAACUUAGUGAACAAUAUGAAGUUCUGGAUUUGUCUAUUUUUCAUUCUACUGAUGGUAAAUGGCGUUUCUGGUAAAGCAGACCCCUACAGGAAGCUGGGUUCCUCAUUUGUCCUUCGUCCAGACUCUGUGACUGGUCCACUCAAAAACAUAACUUGGAAACAUGGAGAUAACCUGGCUGUGGACUGGUCUGGAGGCGAUGUCAAAUGCUAUCAUAUUUUUAAAGGCCACUGUUCCUUGAAUAAAACAUCUGGAUGCCUGACGCUCUCCAAUGUGACUCCUGAACACAGCGGCAGCUACACGCCAAUAGUCAACUACGAAUAUGAAAACCCCACUGAAAUCAAGAUCAUCUCUCCAGUCCCCAAACCCACUGUUUCCUCAGACUGCAACGAUGAAAAGACCCACUGUAAUCUGACCUGUGAAGGCAACAUCGUUGAUGACCAUGGACCAGUCAGGCCUAGCUGGAUACUUGGUGACAACAAUGUUACUGGAAACAAGAUGUUAAAAAUAACACGGGAGAACCAGGAACGUUUCAUCACCUGUGUGUUGGAAAACCCUGUCGGCUUUAAUCAGAGUGAAAUCCUGCUCAACCCUCUAAUCAGGACUAAUUCCAUCUAUGUUAUACUGGGAGUCGCGACUACCGUGGGUAUCCUGGGUGCCCCUGUUCUCGGGGGUCUCGUGUGGUGUCUUAUAAGAAAGGAGAAGCUGAAAGCUGAUGAACAGAACAAGACGGGAAGGAAAGAACCUGGAAUGUCCCAGUCGUUUUGUUGAAUCUUUGACAGACGAACCAACAGUUGAUAUGGAGCUGAUAGAGGUCACUGUGGAUGAUGAUGACGACGACAACAGUGGAGCUGUUUUACUUCAGAACCAGAUGACUAGAAGGAGAAGCAGCUGCUGAGGACCAGAGGAUAAACCUCCACCUGCUGAACCUCAUCAUCUUCAGGACUUCACUGCUGACAGCUUUACUCACAUUUUCCUGCUGCUUAACAGCUGUUUGAUUUCAUGGUUCUUCUAUUUAUUGUGGAGAUGUUACAUUUAGUGUUCAAUCAAGAUUUUAGAAUUUUGUAUUGUAAACUUUUCAAACAUGUUAUUACUCAGCUACUCCUUUCAUGUCUGUCUGACUUCAGUGCUCUUACUUUACCUCUGAAGUUUUAGUCACGGGACUAGAACCUGGACGAGCUGCCAGAGACCAUAAGUCAGAUCCUCACAGAGAGCAGCUAUCCACCUGUACGCCAAGAGUGAGUGAGACAUCAGCUCACUAAUCCACCUCACUGAGAUAUCUCAAUGUCAUUUGAGUUAGUGUCAGAAAGUCUUAUGUUUCUUUGUUACUUUAAUUUGAAAUCCACACAUUAGCGAUAUCACUUCCUUUCUGAGCACAUAUCUACUGACAGCCCAAGUGUAUCUGUCUGCGACCUGCAAGACGCCUCAGUCCUUCAGGCUGCAGACACACCCUACUGGUUGUGUGCAAAGGCAAAAGUAAGUAUUAAGAUGUUCUCAAACUUGCCUAGACAUUGAGUGGUUAAACUGCCUGACUAUACUGCGUUUAUGUGCAUGUUGAAUACCUCUGUUAGUUUUAGUAGUUAACGUGACAUUGCAAUCAGCUCUUCUUGCAGUGUGAUGUUUAUGCAGCUUUAAACUAUAUUCCGGUUGUUCCUUACAUUAUCUAUUUGUAUCAGUGCAGCUUAUUUAGCCUCUUUAGUGUUAAUUUCUACCGCUGUUCAUGCGUCCCUCACUGAGAGGAAGAGGUGUAGUUGCGGUCUGUCCACUAGAUGGAGCCACAGACCCACACAUUCAUUCAAAUCUCUCAUUUCAAUACUAACCUUUUAAGUGACUGCAUUUUUGUUCAUUCAUUGCGUGUUUGGUGUAUUAAGUUAAUCUUUUCCCAACCAAAAAUGAGUUAGGUUUAGGGUCAGUUAUGCUUAUCAUUUAGUUAUUCAUACAAUUGUACAGUGUUAAUAUUGUUUGUAUUUUGUUUCUUGUAUAGACCACACAUGCUCAUAUAUAGAUGUCGAUCACCAUCCUGUAAACUAAUGUCAAAACUAAUGUGUGCUUGGAGAUGUUUCAGCGUGUCCUUCUCUCUGGUCGGACUCUGUCAAAGGAAUCUAUCUAACCAGCAAUACCAGUACCAGUAAACAAUGUUGGGAUAAAAACUUAAGCACAACCAAAAACAUUUCUGUAAGUUGAAAGUAAAAGCUGGCUUCACCUUCCUGUGAACCAUCAGCCUAAAGUCCUUUCAAGAUCAACUUGUGGACACAUUUUCAGAGCUUCCACUCUGGUUUCAGGACGUUUUUACCCCCAUUAAAACCCUGUUUUUACCAGAUUCUGUUACAAAUAUGAGAACAGAAGGGAACAAAUGUGACACGUCUCCAUCUCAGACACUUUUUAGCCACUUUUUUCUCACGUUUAUUUUUUGAAGUAAAAAUAUUUGUAGACAACUUUUGACAAAUUGUUGAAAAUAAAGUCUGGUUUGGUUUUCUGUU